UGAACGCAGUGGCCAGUCACCAACUGGAUCGGAAUCCAACUUUCGUGAAGAUAAGCUGCAAGAUAGUUCAGUUCUUAGUACAUCAGCUUUUCAGCACACUGCAUCAUCUCUUGUAAAAGACUUGGAAUCUACUAGAACAUGUCUAAAGGAUAGUGAAUUAUCACCAACUGAUGAACUUUCUGGGAAGGAAAACUUGUGUCUUAUUUCCCCUCUUAGCAAAUCGAAACCACUAGCAUUUGAUGUGCAUAUCAAAGAAGUCCCAACAGAUUUGAAAAAUCCAUUUCAGAAUGUUCUAAACCCACCUGGCAGUGACAUCAGCAACGCUUUUCCUGUCUGCGUUCAACUACCCACAAACCAUCUUAAAAAGUCACAUAUCACUGCUUAUAAACCAACACACCAUCAUCGCAAAAUCAGCCGGUCCUCCACCUCCACACUGAGUCGUAUGAGCCUGAAAGCCCCUGUUGAAGACCUGUGUGCAUCCUUUCUGUUGGCGUGUUUGUUCUGCAAGUUUUGGGAUUGCAUGCUGGCCGUUGGUGAUGGAUGUCAAUUCUGCGUGGCCUCUAUCUGUUCGUCCUUCUGCUCUAACGCAUGCUGUUGCGACCCUUCCAAUCUGGAGGACUUUAUAGAUUUUUGCACAUGUUGCAGCUGCACUGAAUUCA
ensembl:lncRNA